UAAGCGACUAAGCGUACACGGUGGAUGCCCUGGCAGUCAGAGGCGAUGAAGGACGUGCUAAUCUGCGAUAAGCGUCGGUAAGGUGAUAUGAACCGUUAUAACCGGCGAUUUCCGAAUGGGGAAACCCAGUGUGAUUCGUCACACUAUCAUUAACUGAAUCCAUAGGUUAAUGAGGCGAACCGGGGGAACUGAAACAUCUAAGUACCCCGAGGAAAAGAAAUCAACCGAGAUUCCCCCAGUAGCGGCGAGCGAACGGGGAGCAGCCCAGAGCCUGAAUCAGUGUGUGUGUUAGUGGAAGCGUCUGGAAAGGCGCGCGAUACAGGGUGACAGCCCCGUACACAAAAAUGCACAUACUGUGAGCUCGAUGAGUAGGGCGGGACACGUGGUAUCCUGUCUGAAUAUGGGGGGACCAUCCUCCAAGGCUAAAUACUCCUGACUGACCGAUAGUGAACCAGUACCGUGAGGGAAAGGCGAAAAGAACCCCGGCGAGGGGAGUGAAAAAGAACCUGAAACCGUGUACGUACAAGCAGUGGGAGCCUCUUUAUGGGGUGACUGCGUACCUUUUGUAUAAUGGGUCAGCGACUUAUAUUCUGUAGCAAGGUUAACCGAAUAGGGGAGCCGAAGGGAAACCGAGUCUUAACUGGGCGUUAAGUUGCAGGGUAUAGACCCGAAACCCGGUGAUCUAGCCAUGGGCAGGUUGAAGGUUGGGUAACACUAACUGGAGGACCGAACCGACUAAUGUUGAAAAAUUAGCGGAUGACUUGUGGCUGGGGGUGAAAGGCCAAUCAAACCGGGAGAUAGCUGGUUCUCCCCGAAAGCUAUUUAGGUAGCGCCUCGUGAAUUCAUCUCCGGGGGUAGAGCACUGUUUCGGCAAGGGGGUCAUCCCGACUUACCAACCCGAUGCAAACUGCGAAUACCGGAGAAUGUUAUCACGGGAGACACACGGCGGGUGCUAACGUCCGUCGUGAAGAGGGAAACAACCCAGACCGCCAGCUAAGGUCCCAAAGUCAUGGUUAAGUGGGAAACGAUGUGGGAAGGCCCAGACAGCCAGGAUGUUGGCUUAGAAGCAGCCAUCAUUUAAAGAAAGCGUAAUAGCUCACUGGUCGAGUCGGCCUGCGCGGAAGAUGUAACGGGGCUAAACCAUGCACCGAAGCUGCGGCAGCGACACUAUGUGUUGUUGGGUAGGGGAGCGUUCUGUAAGCCUGUGAAGGUGUGCUGUGAGGUAUGCUGGAGGUAUCAGAAGUGCGAAUGCUGACAUAAGUAACGAUAAAGCGGGUGAAAAGCCCGCUCGCCGGAAGACCAAGGGUUCCUGUCCAACGUUAAUCGGGGCAGGGUGAGUCGACCCCUAAGGCGAGGCCGAAAGGCGUAGUCGAUGGGAAACAGGUUAAUAUUCCUGUACUUGGUGUUACUGCGAAGGGGGGACGGAGAAGGCUAUGUUGGCCGGGCGACGGUUGUCCCGGUUUAAGCGUGUAGGCUGGUUUUCCAGGCAAAUCCGGAAAAUCAAGGCUGAGGCGUGAUGACGAGGCACUACGGUGCUGAAGCAACAAAUGCCCUGCUUCCAGGAAAAGCCUCUAAGCAUCAGGUAACAUCAAAUCGUACCCCAAACCGACACAGGUGGUCAGGUAGAGAAUACCAAGGCGCUUGAGAGAACUCGGGUGAAGGAACUAGGCAAAAUGGUGCCGUAACUUCGGGAGAAGGCACGCUGAUAUGUAGGUGAAGUCCCUUGCGGAUGGAGCUGAAAUCAGUCGAAGAUACCAGCUGGCUGCAACUGUUUAUUAAAAACACAGCACUGUGCAAACACGAAAGUGGACGUAUACGGUGUGACGCCUGCCCGGUGCCGGAAGGUUAAUUGAUGGGGUUAGCGGUAACGCGAAGCUCUUGAUCGAAGCCCCGGUAAACGGCGGCCGUAACUAUAACGGUCCUAAGGUAGCGAAAUUCCUUGUCGGGUAAGUUCCGACCUGCACGAAUGGCGUAAUGAUGGCCAGGCUGUCUCCACCCGAGACUCAGUGAAAUUGAACUCGCUGUGAAGAUGCAGUGUACCCGCGGCAAGACGGAAAGACCCCGUGAACCUUUACUAUAGCUUGACACUGAACAUUGAGCCUUGAUGUGUAGGAUAGGUGGGAGGCUUUGAAGUGUGGACGCCAGUCUGCAUGGAGCCGACCUUGAAAUACCACCCUUUAAUGUUUGAUGUUCUAACGUUGGCCCCUGAUCGGGGUUGCGGACAGUGUCUGGUGGGUAGUUUGACUGGGGCGGUCUCCUCCUAAAGAGUAACGGAGGAGCACGAAGGUUGGCUAAUCCUGGUCGGACAUCAGGAGGUUAGUGCAAUGGCAUAAGCCAGCUUGACUGCGAGCGUGACGGCGCGAGCAGGUGCGAAAGCAGGUCAUAGUGAUCCGGUGGUUCUGAAUGGAAGGGCCAUCGCUCAACGGAUAAAAGGUACUCCGGGGAUAACAGGCUGAUACCGCCCAAGAGUUCAUAUCGACGGCGGUGUUUGGCACCUCGAUGUCGGCUCAUCACAUCCUGGGGCUGAAGUAGGUCCCAAGGGUAUGGCUGUUCGCCAUUUAAAGUGGUACGCGAGCUGGGUUUAGAACGUCGUGAGACAGUUCGGUCCCUAUCUGCCGUGGGCGCUGGAGAACUGAGGGGGGCUGCUCCUAGUACGAGAGGACCGGAGUGGACGCAUCACUGGUGUUCGGGUUGUCAUGCCAAUGGCACUGCCCGGUAGCUAAAUGCGGAAGAGAUAAGUGCUGAAAGCAUCUAAGCACGAAACUUGCCCCGAGAUGAGUUCUCCCUGACUCCUUGAGAGUCCUGAAGGAACGUUGAAGACGACGACGUUGAUAGGCCGGGUGUGUAAGCGCAGCGAUGCGUUGAGCUAACCGGUACUAAUGAACCGUGAGGCUUAACCU
rnacentral:rRNA from 1 species